UUUGUACUGGGCUGGUGAGGACAAUGCAUAGGUAUGGUGUAUGCUGCAUUAUAAUACAACAUGAGCAGUCACAGAGAGAGAGAGACUCAGCAGCAGAAAGCUGGCUUCUGUUAGCUAAGCCAUGUUAAUAUAGGCUAGUACUGUGGUAGCGUUUCGAACCGUUCGUAUUGCUGACAAAAGCACAAGCUUUUAUUUUGAAAGAUAUUGGUUAGUAUUUCCGCUAUUGUGUUGCCCAUGUUCCGUUUAUGUUAGUGAUAUGUCCUCGGUAUGUACUUAUUAAAUCCUGCCGAUAAGCAUGUUGGGGUUUGUGUUACGAUUAGACACCUUUCCAUAACGGGAAAUUAUCAGGGCUAAGUAUAGUGAGCAUCUAUGUUCCAAACUCUACUUGCUGCACUUCCGUUAGCUUUACUUCCUCUUUGUGUUGGACCGUUUACCACGCAGAUGAGAUGGCAGUGUAAAACCUGCGGAUUCAGAGCAACGACAAGGGGUGAUCUUCUGACCCAUUACAGGCUACAGCACAGGACAUUUGAAACUGGAAAUUCGAUCAGUGCUGAAUUUCAGAGAAUAACCACUGUACAACUGGAACCCAAAUUUAUGUCUGGGUUGGACCUUCACACUCCCAAGCUACUGAAGCUGUUUCAUGCUAAAGGUGGAGCACUUGGACAAAGACUGUAGAUCAUAAUGGAGCCACUGGAGAACUCCACGUGCCCUAGGGUUGAGACGGCCAGAGAGGUUGUCCUUCGGUGCCUUAUAGAAUACCUUGGAGAGCAUGGGGAACAUCUCAUCAAAGAGUUCAGUGACAUCGAGAACUUGGAGGAACUUGAACAGCUUGUAGUGGCAAUAACUCACAAAGGACAUAGCCUCCACAAGCGACAGCCCAAAGGAAAUUGGAGUUGUCAUUGAGGGCAUGGAAGUCAUCAGAGGACUUGGAGAUAUUGCCAGUGCUUGCUGUCUCCUCUUGGGCUUGACCUAUGCACUGAAUCUCGACUAUCCCAAGCAGUUGAAGUACACCUUUGAGGUAUUCCAAAAACUUUUCUUGGAACUGGAUGCAUCAAAGCUGUCAAAGAAAGUCCAGUCCCUCAAGAGCAAACUUCUGGCUUGAACUGAGACUAUGGUCGCACACUUUUGUGUGACCCACAAGGUUCAGCUUUAACAAAGCUUGAGAAUUGAAUGUUUGAAGGUGCCAAAUGUCAGUGAAAUUUCUGUUGUGGUCAGUUCACGGUAAAAUGUUUAUGUACAAAUUGUUCUUUUACAUGUUUUCUGUUGGGGCAAGUGCACUUUUCAUAGAUUUGUGCUUUUUCUUUGAGAUCAUAACUGAUAUAAUUUAAUGGCUCGCUGUGCUGAGGAAGCAAGCAUAGGAUUUUUCUUUUCGACAAGACAAUUCUUUCAGUUUAUACAAUGACCAUAAAUGGUCUCCUCUCUUAUUUGUCACAAGCAUUUAAUUUAUUUGUAAUUUUAGCCAGUGGAGUAUGCUCUUGAUUUGCAGGAGAAUCUCAGCUCCCAAUACAUGCCCUGCCCCUUCUACCUUGCAGCAUAUAUUGACCAAUAAGGAUAUUUCACUUGAGGUUAAGCUUAUCCAUUCAGAAUGAAUCAUUUCAAGAUGGGGAAUAUUUCAGACAAAACUAUUUUUUUUCAUUGUAGAGGAACCAAGAAUAGCAUUCAUUCUCCACAUUGAUUAUUUUGAGGAUUCCAUUAGGAACAUUGUGUAAAAAAACAAUAUCACAGCUGUUUAUUGGGUAUUAGCAAAUAUACCACCUGGAUUGCGCUCUAUACUUUGUGCAAUAAACUGGUCUAGUCUCUGCAAGGCUGUUGGUGCUAAAAGAUUUGGCUAUGAUAUUGUGUUAGAGCCUCUCAAAAGAUUUGUGUCUUAAAAAGAAGAGUUUUGUAUGUCUAGAGUUUUUGUUGCCAGUGAUGGAAAGAAUUUUAAAGGGACAGUAUGUUGUAUGGCAGCAGACAAUCUUGGUGCGCACUCUCUUGGUGGACUUAUUGAAAGCUUUACAGGUCCUUACGUUUGCAGGUUCUGCUUAGGACAUCGUUCUGAAUACCCCUUAAAAAAUUCUGUUGUGGUUGGUUCAAGGUAAAAAUGUUUACAAAUUGUUCUUUUACAUGUUUUCUGUUGUGGCACAUGUACUUUUCAAGGAUUUGUGCUUCUCUUUAAGAUCAUAACUGAUAUAAUUUAGCGGCUCACUAAGGUGAGGAAGCAAGCAUAGGAUUUUUCUUUAAGAUAAGACAAUUAUUUCAGUUUAUACAAUGACCAUAAAUGGUCUCCUCUCUUAUUUGUCACAAGCAUUUAAUUUAUUUGUAAAUUUAUGUCAGUAGGACAGUGUAGCCAUGCCCUAACGUUUUUUAGUUCUUCUCGACAGGUCCUCUGGCAACUGUACUCAUUUUUGUUUUCACAAAAAUAGUGUUCAAGGUCAGCAUUUGUAAAAGUUUGCAAUGAAAUGCUAUAAUUUUUAUAAUUAAAAGUGUUACUUUUGGCAAGAAUUUAAUGUAUGUUCUGUUAAUUGAGUUUUAUUUACUCUGUACUUCGUGGUACCCAUUGUAAUCUCACCUUAAAAUGUGGGUCAUGAGAUAAACACAAUAUAUCUAAGUAAGAAUUAUAUUUAGAUUUAAUUAAAUCCACUAAGUAAAUUCAAGUAAAUUCAUUGAUUAAGAUAUAUCAUUAUUA